rnacentral:lncRNA from 1 species
CAUCUAAAAUAAUAACAUGAUGGGAAAAUUAUGAUAUUACAAAGUUCUAUAAAUAAAAAAUGUGCGGUGGCGCUAAUUAGCACGUGAUGCAAACAAACCGUUCAACAACAACAACAACACGAGGAAACAUGCGUGAAAAGGCAAACAAACAAUAUUUGUAAACACGAGAACAACUGCUGGCGGUACACAUUAUAAGAAGAUCACUUUAUUGGACGAGAAGUUGUUACGCCUACAAAUUUGUUACGCCUACAAAUUUCAGACGUUGCAUCUUGAAGACAGCGAUCACUUCAUGAUCAUUCUCACAGGAAAGUGAAGAGAAAAUGGCCAACAGGGAGUGUAUAUUAGGAAAAUUGAAACCUUUCAAAGCAACUGAUGAGUACUACAAUCUUCUGUCAGAGGAGGAAGCAGCAACCCCCAAGUCAUUCACAAGAUUACAAAAGGGCUAUGAAUUGUUUUUUUCUGCUGCCAAAACCAAGAAUGCCUUCACAAUUAGCUUCGAAUAUGAUAAUGGAGAACAGUGAAAGUUUUUGUUAGUAAGAAAAUCAGUCUUGGAGAGGAAGGAAAGAGAUCCGUGAUAACAGAUGAUACCUUAAAGCACUAUCUAGAUAAACAUAUAUGCAAGUAAUCUCGCAUCAACAAAUAUGUGUCGUAGCAGUGAGAAAGCUCAUUUUCAAAAGUGUGUUUUUGGAUAUCAGACCAACCAUGACAUUUAUAAACAGUCCUCCAGAGUUGGUUGAACACAGUACAUGUACAUUAGUCCGGAGGAUUUAAUCAUAACUGCCACCAACAAGGUUGAAGUGGUUUUUACUGGUUUGAAAUGUGAGGUGUAAUCAUACAGUAAACAAAUAAUAUAGUAUUAACAUCGUUAUAGCAUUCAAGGUUUUUAUUCAUUUGUUUAGCUUAUCUGAGCCAAAGGCUCGGGAUGAGCUGUUAGUAUGGGUUGGUUGUCCAGCAUUAAACGUCCUGUGUCCAUCCUCAAGAUUGCAUAUAAAUUGCUUCUCUAAAACUACAUAUCAGAUGUUUACCAAAUUUGGUCUGUAACACCCCUCCUUUGACCACUAUUUAAAUUACAGGAAAUGGUUACUUUGUGACCUUGACCAUUGAUCUUAAGAUAUAAAAUAUAUUCAUACUGAAUAUUUUAGUACAUUGUAAAAUGAGUAUUGAUUUAAUUGAUACAAGAAUUGUAUGAAUCUAGUUAAAAACAUCAAAUUUUGAUAUCCAUUAUUUAAUAGAAGUGUAAAUGGAAUUAUGAGUGGCACUUAUGUCUCUGUGACAAAUCCUCAAAAAAUUCACACACAUUUUCUGUGUCAAACCAGUGUGUAUUAUAUAAAAAAUACAGUCAAGCAAAUUGUUUAACUUUAUUCGCUAGCCUAUAUAAUAAUCUGUGCCAAUUUACUUGUGAUUUACUGUUUCCAUGCCAAUAAAUUAUGCACUAUAUACACAGUUAUUAAAAUUGA